rnacentral:rRNA from 1 species
UACGUAGGGCGCAAGCGUUUGUCCGGAAUUAUUGGGCGUAAAGAGCUCGUAGGCGGCUUGUCACGUCGGGUGUGAAAGCCCGGGGCUUAACCCCGGGUCUGCAUUCGAUACGGGCUAGCUAGAGUGUGGUAGGGGAGAUCGGAAUUCCUGGUGUAGCGGUGAAAUGCGCAGAUAUCAGGAGGAACACCGGUGGCGAAGGCGGAUCUCUGGGCCAUUACUGACGCUGAGGAGCGAAAGCGUGGGGAGCGAACAGG